CCUACGGGUGGCAGCAGUGGGGAAUAUUGGGCAAUGGACGCAAGUCUGACCCAGCAACGCCGCGUGAAGGAAGAAGGCUUUCGGGUUGUAAACUUCUUUUAAGGGGGAAGAGCAGAAGACGGUACCCCUUGAAUAAGCCACGGCUAACUACGUGCCAGCAGCCGCGGUAAUACGUAGGAUGCGAGCGUGAUCCGGAUUUAUUGGGUUUAAAGGGUGCGCAGGCGGCGUGUCAAGUCAGCGGUAAAAUGUCGGGGCUCAACCCCGGCCGGCCGUUGAAACUGGCGUGCUCGAGUUGGAGAGAAGUAUGCGGAAUUCGUGGUGUAGCGGUGAAAUGCAUAGAUAUCACGAAGAACCCCGAUUGCGAAGGCAGCAUACCGGCUCCACACUGACGCUGAGGCACGAAAGCGUGGGUAUCGAACAGGAUUAGAUACCCCUGUAGUC
rnacentral:rRNA from 1 species